AAAGGAAUAGACGGGGACCCGCACAAGCGGUGGAUUAUGUGGAUUAAUUCGAUGCAACGCGAAAAACCUUACCUACCCUUGACAUGUCAGAAAGAUUUUAGAAAUAAAUUCGUGCCCGAAAGGGAAUUUGAACACAGGUGCUGCAUGGCUGUCGUCAGCUCGUGUCGUGAGAUGUUGGGUUAAGUCCCGCAACGAGCGCAACCCUUGUCAUUAGUUGCCAUCAUUUGGUUGGGCACUUUAAUGAGACUGCCGGUGAUAAACCGGAGGAAGGUGGGGAUGACGUCAAGUCCUCAUGGCCCUUAUGGGUAGGGCUUCACACGUAAUACAAUGGCGCGUACAGAGGGUUGCCAACUUGCAAAAGGGAGCUAAUCUCAGAAAGCGCGUCGUAGUCCGGAUCGGAGUCUGCAACUCGACUCCGUGAAGUCGGAAUCGCUAGUAAUCGCGGAUCAGCAUGUCGCGGUGAAUACGUUCCCGGGUCUUGUACACACCGCCCGU
rnacentral:rRNA from 1 species